UAUAUAUAUUAAAAAAUAUAUAAAUAUAUUAUAUUUUAAUUAUAUAUAGGCUGAGUGAAUAAUGUGAGUUUACUUAAAAUUGGGCCAAUAUUGUUGGCCCAUAAAAACAAACCCAAUAGACAAAUAAAAGAUAAAAAAUUCACUAAAUUUAUACUUCUUUUUUUUUUUCUUUCUUUCACAGAGCUCUAAAUUUUUAAUAUGUUUCUCUCUUUCUCUUUUUCUGUCUCUCACCCUAAGUGGUCAAGCCGGAAGCCCUCCAAAUUACCAAGUAACAGUAUAUACCCGCCAUUGCCUACCUUACUAUUAAUUGUAUGCUUGAGAAAAUAUACAAAAUAUUUUUAAAGUAAAAAAUUAUUGUUCAUAUAAAAUUUUAAUUUUAGUUAUAUAUGAUUGGAUAUUUUAAUCCAAUAUUUAUCUAUAUAAUUUAUUUAUUUUUGAUUGUAUAAAUAAAAAUGAAUAAUAUGGAGAUUGAAGACGAAAAAAAAGACAUGUGAGACGGAAAAGAUUAGAUAUUCAACUCAUAAAUUUUUUUUCCCAUAUUAUAAUACUAUAUUUUAUAUAAUUAUUUUGUACUUUGAACUAUUUGACAUAUUUUUGUAUCAAAUUAUAGAUAAUGUUCUAUACAAAUUAAACUAUUGAUCGUAUGAUGUUGAGAAUUUCAAGCGGCUCGUUUAGG
rnacentral:lncRNA from 1 species